rnacentral:rRNA from 1 species
GACGAACGCUGGCGGCGUGCUUAACACAUGCAAGUCGAACGGAAAGGCCCUGCUUUUGUGGGGUGCUCGAGUGGCGAACGGGUGAGUAACACGUGAGUAACCUGCCCUUGACUUUGGGAUAACUUCAGGAAACUGGGGCUAAUACCGGAUAGGAGCUCCUGCUGCAUGGUGGGGGUUGGAAAGUUUCGGCGGUUGGGGAUGGACUCGCGGCUUAUCAGCUUGUUGGUGGGGUAGUGGCUUACCAAGGCUUUGACGGGUAGCCGGCCUGAGAGGGUGACCGGCACCAUUGGGACGGAGUAACGGCCCAGACUCCUACGGGGGGGAGCAGGGGGGAAUAUUGCACAAGGGGCGGAAGCCGGAUGCAGCAACGCCGGGUGGGGGAUGGCGGCCUUCGGGUUGUAAACCGCUUUCGCCUGGGACGAAGCGUGAGUGACGGUAAUGGGUAAAGAAGCACCGGCUAACUACGG